rnacentral:rRNA from 1 species
GAUGAACGCUGGCGGCGUGCCUAAUACAUGCAAGUCGAGCGAACGGACGAGAAGCUUGCUUCUCUGAUGUUAGCGGCGGACGGGUGAGUAACACGUGGAUAACCUACCUAUAAGACUGGGAUAACUUCGGGAAACCGGAGCUAAUACCGGAUAAUAUUUUGAACCGCAUGGCUCAAAAGUGAAAGACGGUCUUGCUGUCACUUAUAGAUGGAUCCGCGCUGCAUUAGCUAGUUGGUAAGGUAACGGCUUACCAAGGCAACGAUGCAUAGCCGACCUGAGAGGGUGAUCGGCCACACUGGAACUGAGACACGGUCCAGACUCCUACGGGAGGCAGCAGUAGGGAAUCUUCCGCAAUGGGCGAAAGCCUGACGGAGCAACGCCGCGUGAGUGAUGAAGGUCUUCGGAUCGUAAAACUCUGUUAUCAGGGAAGAACAUAUGUGUAAGUAACUGUGCACAUCUUGACGGUACCUAAUCAGAAAGCCACGGUUAACUACUUGCCAGCAUCCGCGGUAAUACGUAGGUGGCAAGCGUUAUCCGGAAUUAUUGGGCGUAAAGCGCGCGUAGGCGGUUUUUUAAGUCUGAUGUGAAAGCCCACGGCUCAUCCGUGGAGGGUCAUUGGAAACUGGAAAACUUGAGUGCAGAAGAGGAAAGUGGAAUUCCAUGUGUAGCGGUGAAAUGCGCAGAGAUAUGGAGGAACACCAGUGGCGAAGGCGACUUUCUGGUCUGUAACUGACGCUGAUGUGCGAAAGCGUGGGGAUCAAACAGGAUUAGAUACCCUGGUAGUCCACGCCGUAAACGAUGAGUGCUAAGUGUUAGGGGGUUUCCGCCCCUUAGUGCUGCAGCUAACGCAUUAAGCACUCCGCCUGGGGAGUACGACCGCAAGGUUGAAACUCAAAGGAAUUGACGGGGACCCGCACAAGCGGUGGAGCAUGUGGUUUAAUUCGAAGCAACGCGAAGAACCUUACCAAAUCUUGACAUCCUUUGACAACUCUAGAGAUAGAGCCUUCCCCUUCGGGGGACAAAGUGACAGGUGGUGCAUGGUUGUCGUCAGCUCGUGUCGUGAGAUGUUGGGUUAAGUCCCGCAACGAGCGCAACCCUUAAGCUUAGUUGCCAUCAUUAAGUUGGGCACUCUAAGUUGACUGCCGGUGACAAACCGGAGGAAGGUGGGGAUGACGUCAAAUCAUCAUGCCCCUUAUGAUUUGGGCUACACACGUGCUACAAUGGACAAUACAAAGGGCAGCGAAACCGCGAGGUCAAGCAAAUCCCAUAAAGUUGUUCUCAGUUCGGAUUGUAGUCUGCAACUCGACUACAUGAAGCUGGAAUUGCUAGUAAUCGUAGAUCAGCAUGCUACGGUGAAUACGUUCCCGGGUCU